GAGCUUGCUCCCUGAUGUUAGCGGCGGACGGGUGAGUAACACGUGGGUAACCUGCCUGUAAGACUGGGAUAACUCCGGGAAACCGGGGCUAAUACCGGAUGGUUGUUUGAACCGCAUGGUUCAGACAUAAAAGGUGGCUUCGGCUACCACUUACAGAUGGACCCGCGGCGCAUUAGCUAGUUGGUGAGGUAACGGCUCACCAAGGCGACGAUGCGUAGCCGACCUGAGAGGGUGAUCGGCCACACUGGGACUGAGACACGGCCCAGACUCCUACGGGAGGCAGCAGUAGGGAAUCUUCCGCAAUGGACGAAAGUCUGACGGAGCAACGCCGCGUGAGUGAUGAAGGUUUUCGGAUCGUAAAGCUCUGUUGUUAGGGAAGAACAAGUGCCGUUCAAAUAGGGCGGCACCUUGACGGUACCUAACCAGAAAGCCACGGCUAACUACGUGCCAGCAGCCGCGGUAAUACGUAGGUGGCAAGCGUUGUCCGGAAUUAUUGGGCGUAAAGGGCUCGCAGGCGGUUUCUUAAGUCUGAUGUGAAAGCCCCCGGCUCAACCGGGGAGGGUCAUUGGAAACUGGGGAACUUGAGUGCAGAAGAGGAGAGUGGAAUUCCACGUGUAGCGGUGAAAUGCGUAGAGAUGUGGAGGAACACCAGUGGCGAAGGCGACUCUCUGGUCUGUAACUGACGCUGAGGAGCGAAAGCGUGGGGAGCGAACAGGAUUAGAUACCCUGGUAGUCCACGCCGUAAACGAUGAGUGCUAAGUGUUAGGGGGUUUCCGCCCCUUAGUGCUGCAGCUAACGCAUUAAGCACUCCGCCUGGGGAGUACGGUCGCAAGACUGAAACUCAAAGGAAUUGACGGGGGCCCGCACAAGCGGUGGAGCAUGUGGUUUAAUUCGAAGCAACGCGAAGAACCUUACCAGGUCUUGACAUCCUCUGACAAUCCUAGAGAUAGGACGUCCCCUUCGGGGGCAGAGUGACAGGUGGUGCAUGGUUGUCGUCAGCUCGUGUCGUGAGAUGUUGGGUUAAGUCCCGCAACGAGCGCAACCCUUGAUCUUAGUUGCCAGCAUUCAGUUGGGCACUCUAAGGUGACUGCCGGUGACAAACCGGAGGAAGGUGGGGAUGACGUCAAAUCAUCAUGCCCCUUAUGACCUGGGCUACACACGUGCUACAAUGGACAGAACAAAGGGCAGCGAAACCGCGAGGUUAAGCCAAUCCCACAAAUCUGUUCUCAGUUCGGAUCGCAGUCUGCAACUC
rnacentral:rRNA from 1 species